rnacentral:miRNA from 1 species
AAGUACUAGCCAUGCCCGAUGUUGCUUAACUUCGGUGAUCGGACGAGAAUCGGUGUUUUCAACAUGGUAUGGUCGUUGACAACCAU